CCUACCCAUUUCGCAUUUUCAAUCAUAGUACUUGAGUAGAAGGGGCAGCUUAACUCCAGCUAUUCCGUUUCUUUGAAAAAGAAAGUGAUAAAAUGUUGCCAUGGGCUUAUAAAAAUAUUUGGCAAUGUACCUCCCAAGAAACAGCAAAGAAACUUAAAAUUUUUUCUACCGAGAAAAUAAAUUGAAGGCUCAGAAAACUAGGAAAUAGAGUGCUUGACCAACUUUCUCCAAAGGAAGGAAUAGAUAUUCAGUUGAUUUACUGUGGUCAAGCGUUGGGAGGAGAAGGUACAACGAGGAGAGGGAUGGGCAAGGACAGGAGAGGUGAAUGCUGGGAAGCUGGACGGCAGGAGGGUGAGAACACACGCAGGGACCGCAGGAGUGGGGGCCCCGGGGAAGAAAGGGACAAAGGGACAGCAGGAUCGUUCGGUCGGACUCGUUUUUCUUAGUGCCCUUGAACGUGCCUCACAGCAAUGAAACCAACGUAAGCUGAGUGACCACGUGUCCAGAAAGAAGGGGACAAUGGAUUUGGUGGGAAAAGCCAUCAGCUAAAUUGCCUUUUGCUGUUUAAAAUGAAACCUCACCAGUUUGUCAAAAAAGCAGCAAAAUUUUGAUGUCUCAUUAAAAGAACUUGGUGAUCUGGGUCAGAUGUGAGAGGUAAGCACAACAUCUUCACUCUGUCCGGGCCCGGCCAUGAGGUGGAAUUAUGGAGCAGAUGGGUUUUCAUCCGUUCCCAGUGUCCCGGGGCCUUACUCCCUAUUCCUGGCGCAGCUGUCCAGAUGCCUGACCUUUCUAGUGAUUUCUGGAAAGACCUGCCUUUCCCAUAACCCAGUUCUAUAAAAUCUCGCACGGUGGUAUGGGGGAAAGAGCACGGGCUCCAUAGAGGGCACAUUCUGGAUCGAAAUCUAGUUCUGACGUGCACUAGAUGCUUUAGGGUCCCGUUAUUUAAUGUCUCUCCAAGCCUCAGUUUCUGCAUCUGUAAAAUGGAGGUAGCAUCUAGUCUGCAUAAAGGUUGUGAGUUUUAAACAAGAAUGCGACAUCCAGGACACAGGAGGUUCUCCAUAUUAAUGCGUUGCCUUCCUCCUCGCUUCUGUGCUUUCCGAGGUAUCUAGAUUAUUCAGCUUAACCUGCUCUUACUGAGACCUGUUGCUCCUAAGCCACAUGUGUGGAUAUUAACAACGAUCUGUGGGACCACCAGCAUAAAGUCAGCGUCUCUGCAUGGUACUUCUUCCAGUCGUACGAUGUGGGUAUGGAAAUGGAUCAAUAUGUUGUGAGUACUCUACGAAGAGCGUAAGGCGGACUCCCAGUUUCAUUGCUUCCUGGUUAUGCAAGCUUGGGUGAGUUUCCUCUCCUCUCUCAAUUCCACUUUCCUUGUCUGUAAUCUUUCCUCCUCAAAGGCAGGAGUGAAAAUUAGCAGAAAAGCCAUGCACAGUGCUUGGCACGGAGCAGGCAUUCCAGCGUGUUAGCCAGAAUCGUGAAUGCACCUUUCUCAUGCCUUCUGGGAGGUGGAGGCCACUUGCUUCACAAGGCAAGGAGGAGUAAAAUGACCCAAGCAUUUAUGCGGCCUUUAGAGCCACUGGAACGCCUCUCUUGAGGAAGUCUUUGAAGAGGUUAAGAAAGUUUUAAGGCCAUUUCUCUUUAGGGAAAUCUUUGCUUGCCUUUGGAAUUUUCUAACCCUGUCUCUUAGGAUAAACUAGCCUAGGAUAGUCAGGAUGCCGCUAUGGUGACAAACAGUCUCAUUUCUUGCUCAUGCCACCUACCCAUCCCAGGUCUGCCCCGACUGCCCUCCCUCAGGGAGGCAAGCUGACAGGCUUCCACCAUUUGGAGACCCCUGGAGAGGAGAGAGAAUGGGGCAGACUGAACACCAGAACCUAAGGGCUUCGCCCAAAAGUGCAACAUAUUUCCUCUGGCCUCAUUGUAUGAACCAAAGUGAGUCAUGUGGCAACACCUAAUGAUAAGUGGGUGGAGAAGUGCUAUCGAUGCUCCAAAGGCAGAGAACUGGAAAUACUGAUGAGCAUCAGUUAUUAGCACUCAGACAUUAACAAGAAUGCAGGGCAUCUGAACACACCCGUUCCAUUUGACCCAUAAAACAGCACUGAUGCCCGACACCCGCACCACAACCAUGGCAGAACAGAUGGCACUGUUUGAUUCCCAGAAGAAAAUUCAAAACAAGACUCACCAUUUUAUAGUCGAAUUUAAAGCGAUUUUUAGGAAUAGCUUUUUCUAGGAACUAACGAUCAGAUAAAGAUGGAUUUGGGACGUAUAGACUUGUAGCCUGAAGCGGUGGGUGGUCUUAUCUAUAAAUGAAAACCUGCAUGUAAUUUCUCCUAAUAGCAAUUAAGUAUCUAAUACGUAAUUUGUGUCGCUGAGGGGCUGAUAACAAAACCUCAGAGGAAAAGACCACAGAUUGGUGGAGACCAUAUUCCCAUUGUAAGCAUCAGCAGGAUGUUCUUUUUUUUUUUUGGUGAUAACUUUCAUGCCGACAGAUCUGUUGUUAAGGAGACCCCAGGUGUUCUACAUUAUGUUGGCAAAUUGGCCUUUCCUAAGAUCUCUCUUUAAAUAUAUCAUGUAUCCCCAGUGUGUGCACUUUCAAACAAGUGUAGGUUUAGAAGAGCUCACCAGUAGCAUCAGAUGGCCAGUUACCUUUAGCAUAAACUAUGUCCACUGAUAGAAAUAUUGCUGAAUAUCGAGGAAUACGCACAGCAGAAAUGCUAGAAGGAUUGUGGAUAAUGGGAUGGCUAGGAAAGUCCUAUUGCUGGCGGGGUAAAUUUGAAGGAUUAAGAGCAGGACUAGAAAUAUGCAGACAAAACAAACUGAAAUUUGCAAAUAAGAAAUUUGCAACAUUUCCCAGGCUUGUGGUAAUAUAUUCAUUCAUAUAGAGUGUGUUAGUUUGGAAAAGCAAGUCGAUAAUGAAGAUUGGGAUAACAACAUACCUAAAAAUGCUCAGCUUAGCGUCAGGCUCAGAGUGGGUGGUUGUAUUGAUCACAGCCCUGUUGAAUGGAACUGCCGUUGCUGCUUUUGCUGUGCCUUAGAUCUGUCUUGGAAACCUGGGGAAGUCCCAGUCGUUCCAGCAAGGCCCUUGAUAAAAUCUCAGUUUCAGGUCCUCAAGGUGACGCAUCCUUUCGUCACCUUGUGGUGUCUCUAACUAUGUGCCCCUGCCUCUCACAAAGCUGUGAGCAUGUGCAUCCUCUGGGAUGCUAAACGGGCCCUGGCUCCAGCUCUUGGUUUGUGUUCCAGAAUCCUGCUGCCAAGAGUGUGGUCCCCACACUGUGUCAUGUCAGCAUUGUGUCACCCAGGGCUUAUGGGAAACAGACUCUGGGGCUCUAGCCCAGGGCUGUGGUAUGAAAAUCUGCGAAUUCCCAAGAUUUCAGGGAACUCAAAUACACACGAAAGUUUGAGAAACACCAGCCCAGAGAACAACUCAGCAUUCCUUCCAGAUUUAGAAACGUUACUUUUCUGGUGUUCUUAUUUAAAAAUGGGAAGUUGCACAGCUAAUCAAGGAAGGCUGCUUUGCAGCCCCUGAAUUUUAAACUUCUGGUUGGAGGAGAAAUGGCUUCCUUUUUUCCCACACUUUGAUCUCCAAUGACCACAAUCGGAGGUCCUCAUGGAACAGAGAGAUGACACACAACUCCGUCCAUGGCAGAUGACCUGAAGACAACCCUGAUUCGAAUAUUCUCUUGUCUGCGGUGCUUAGACACGUCAGUCAGCCUCUUCUACUCUGGCCAUCCUGAAUCUUUCUCAAUUGAAUAGCAAGUACUUGCAGCAUCCUAACUAAGUCCACGAGGGAAAAUGGCCGUACCCUGCUGAAGCAGUACCAAAAAGAGGGAACCUCAAGUUCUGUGCUGUCUUCAGGCCGUUUCCCGGAAUUACGACUCUGCCCUUGCUUUGAUUUCACAAGCGGCUCUGGAGGUGUAUUUCCUUGAUUUGCAACUUUCAUUGCUUUUUGUCAUCUUUUUGGCCCUGCACUUGAGAGCCAGUCCCUGGUUUCACCGUCUGCCUCUCCUGGGACACAGCUCAUGCUCAUUCUCUUCAGGGGACUCAAGUACCUUCUGGGCUCCGCUAAGCCCUAACCCUGGUGAGUCAUCUCCUCUGCCUGGUUAGGGACCUUCUGGAUUUUACCCAGUCCCCAGAAUAAGUGGAAUCAGAUGCAUUCUUAAAACGUGAGCUUCUUGGGCUGGCCUAGUGGUUAAGUUUGGCACACUCUGCUUAGGCUGUCCUGGUUCAGUUCCCGGGUGUGGACCUACAGCCCUCAUUGGCUGCCACGCUGUGGCAGUGACCCACAUACAAAAUAGAGGAAGAUGGGCAUAGAUAUUAGCUCAGCGACAAUCUUCCUCAAGCAAAAAGAGGAAGAUUAGCAACAGAUGUUAGCUCAGGGCGAAUCUUCCUCAGCAAAAAAUAAAUAAAUAAAUAAAUAAAAUGUGAGCUUCUUAUGUGAAGAGGUUGAGUCUACUUGUGUGACCCAGAAUCACACAAAUAUUAAAUGCCAAAUAUUAAACGUCUGCUACCUCUUACUAUGUAGAAAGCCUCAGGGGAGAAUCACACCCAUCCUCUCAACUCCAGGUUGUCUACAAAAUCACAGCUUUGCUUGAGCCCCUGUGAGAGCUUCGGGUGCAAGAAAACUAUGUGAGCUGAAUUCCAAACAGAGGAAAGCCCCUUUCAGGAGAGAUGGGAGGCAUAAACUACACCAAACUUAGCAAAGGAGGGAGAAAGGUGGCUGUCAUACCACGGGGAAGAGCAAAGCAGCUGGUUUUAAGGAAUCCUUAAAGGUCAGAUACCGGCCAGUGGAUCAGGUUCAAGUAUUGGAAGGCCUGGGACAUGGGGAAGUUCAGACUCGCUUGCAGGCUCUUUUCUACUGGCCUUCUCGAGGGAGUUUGGGGGUGGGGCAGGAGCCUGGAAGUUGCCCCCUCAGUGGCGCAGGCCUGCAUGAAACAGACACCAAACUCUGUCCUUUCUCCAUUAUCCUUUCCUGCUAGUAAGCGAAAGCCUUGAGCGACUGAGAGAAGGGCAGUGGAGAUCCUCAUCCCAGGACGAAUGCAAAGAUGCAAUGAGCAGGAUGAGGAACAGGGAAACUUCCUCCCACCUGAGACUGACCUCAAAUACAAAGCUGAGUUCAGCCUCCAUGGAAACGAGGAGCAGGAAUGUUUAGAAAACCCGAACUCCAAGGUCCAGACUCACAGGGUUUGCCUAAGCUCAGAACAACAGAACGUCCCUCCUUCCACCACCAGGAGCUCAGCAGGAAUAACAAGCAAUAGCCACCUGUUUCUGUGGGAGGGGCGAGAGCAGGAGAGAGGAGAGCUCUCUGGCACAGGCAUCCAGGAGCGGCUGAGAACAGAAGAUGGAGCGGGAACAUUGAGAACAGCCCCCCAGGGCUUCAGCCCGCUGGAAGCUUACGUGGCCCAUCACUGGAGGGUUUUGAAGCCCGUGGUGCAUUGAAGGUAAUGAUUUAAAACUCAACUGCUGGCUAGGUCAACAACCACCUCUCUGCUUGCACCACACAUGAAAUAAUGUUUCUAAGGGCAGAAAAAUUAUUUACUUCAGUCUCUCUACUGUUUAUGCAUAAUUUUCAGCAGUUGAUUGAAAGUUAACACUUAAAACAAAACGAAAAAAAACCCAACUCAUUGAUAAUAGAUAAAGCAAUCAACAAAAGCAGAACUAGAGAUGACCGAGAUGUUGAAACCCUAACACAGGGACUUUUAAAACAGGCAUGAUAAAUAUGUUAAAUGAUCUAGAGAAAUAGGUAUAUAGCAUGCACGAACAGAAGGGAAAUUUCAACAGCGAGAUAGAAUCUAUAAGAAAGAGACCAAUAGGAAUGCCACAAAUAAAAAUGAUGUAAAACAUAAAGAAAUACUUUGGCAGCCUUAUCAGUAGACUUGGCUGAAGAAAGAUUAAUGAACUUAAAGACAGGUCAACAGAAAUUAUAUAAAGUGAUACGCAAAAAGAAUAAAAAAGGGAAAAAAUAGGGCAUCCAAGAGCUGUGAAACAAUAUAAAAUGAUCUGACAGGGGCCAGCCCCAUGGCCUAGUGGUUAAGUUGGGUGUGCUCCACUUUGGCAGCCUGGGUUCAGUUCCUGGGCACAAACCUACACCACUCAUUGGCAGCCAUGCUGUGGCAGGGACCCACAUACAAAACAGAGGAAGAUUGUCAUGGAUGUUCACUCAGGGUGAAUCUUCCUCAGGAAAAAAUAAAUAAAUAAGAGAUCUAAGAUACACUCAGUUGGAGUCCCAGAAUGAAAGAGAAAGAAUAGAGCAUAAGGAAUAUUUAAAGAGGGGCUGGCCCUGGGGCCGAGUGGUUAAGUUUGUGCUCUCUGCUUUGGUGGCCCUGGGUUUCACUGGUUCGGAUCCUGGGCAUGGACAUGGCACCACUCAUCAGGCCAUGCUGAGGUGGCGUCCUACAUAGCAGAGCCAGAAGGACCUACAACUAGAAUAUACAACUACGUGCUGGGGGGCUUUGAGGAGAAGAAGAAAAAAAAGGAAAAUUGGCAACAGAUGUUAGCUCAGGUGCCAAUCUUUAAAAAGAAAAAAGAAAUAUUUAAAAAGAUAAUGACUAAUAAUCUUCCAAAAAUAAUGCAAGACAACAAAUUUCAGAUCCACAAUGCUCAGAGAACUCCAAAAGUAUAAACACAAAAAAACAAAAAUUAAAAAAAAAAACAUACCUAGACAUAUCGUAACUAAACUGUUGAAACCCAAAGACAAACUGAAAAUAUAAAAUGCACCCAGAGUGGGGGGAAAACACUACAUACAGGAGAAAACAGACAAUUACAAUAAUUUCUUGUCAGAUAUUACAUAAGCUAGAGGAUAAUGGUGUGACGCCUUUGAAGUACUGAAAGAAAAAUAUCUCUUAACCCAAAGUUCUAUACCCAGGAAGAAUGUUUUUCAAAAGUGACAGCAGAAAAUGAAACUUUUUCAGACAAGCAAAAGCUGAGAUAAUUCAUUGCCAACAGAUCUGCGCUACAAGAAAUAUCAAAGGACAUUCUUCAGGCUGUAGGAAGAUUACACAAGAAAUAGUAAACAUUAAAGUAGACAUUAAAAACAUUUUUCUUAUAAUUAAUUCUUUGAAAGAUUGUUGACUAAAGCGAAGACAGUAAACGGGAUUUAUUUUAUCUGUAGAAACAAACUGCAUGAAAAUAAGUGCACCAAGGACAGGAGGGAGGGGUUGGAAGUAUAAUGUCAAUGCGGACUACUAAGGAAUGACGAUAUUUUGAAAUUUUCAGAUUUUUUUGGGCUUAAAGUAGUAAUUUCAGAUCAUUUGCUAGAAUCAGUGAAUAUGGUUAUACAUGAAAACGUAUAAACAGUAGAAGGGUCAAUCUGAGACUUAGAUUUUGAGGGAAAAUAAGGCUUCUCAUCAUUUAAUUCAGUGGUUCUCAAAUUUAACUAAUGGCAGAGUCCCUUGAGGGAGUUUGUUUAAAAACCAAACUUUCUGGCCGCCAUCCCUGAAAAGCCCAAUGCCGCAGGUGUCUCUUAGGUAACGCCUGCCGUACCACGCGGCCUCCCACCCACAUGUCCUCCAGUAGGGCAUGCGGCGUUCCUCCAGGCAGGAGAUGCUGUGUCGUUGGUUACUGGGCCAAGUCAGGAUAGGCCAGAGUCGAAGAGGAGUGAACUGAUGCUCUAGCUGCUGAGAGACUGCAGCCUGGGGGAAUGCCAGGAAAGCUCCUGCCUUUUAACAAGAAGUCCUAUUCCUGUGCUGGCCAGCAUGGAGAAAUAGAAAUCCCUGGAAACAGCUGGAUGUUCUUGAUAAGUCUAAAGACCUUCAACUCCAGCAACUUGGGGACCAUGGAAACUGUGGGCCAAAGGCAGCCGACCAGACCACACCAGCCUCUUGGUGUGGGCCUCUGGGUCAUGGCGACUGGCCCUUUUCCUCCAGAGCCCCCAGAUGAGCAGCAUCUCUUCAGGUUCCCAUGUUGGCUUUGGGCCAUGUGUACAGCCUAUUCCGUGGGGCUGGGGUUGAGUAGACAAGGUUGCCAAGAGGUCCUUAGUCAACCAUGGCUUUAGUCUGGAGGUGAAGAUGAGGGCGGAAGUAGCCAUCAGUGUUGGGCCGAAUCACCAGGCUCAGAAGAUGGGUGGAGACAUGGGAGGAGGGGCUUCUGAUACAAGGAGCCAUGGAUCAAGGCUGGGCUCCUUGGGCUGUGGGGCAUGGCCAGGACAGCGCUGCUUAGAGGCCAGAGUGUGCCAUUCCUUCCUUGGAGGACCUCAAACGGAGGCAAGAACUGGAUUUGUCUCCUUCCCUCUGUGAAACAGCAGAUGAAGGAUUUUCUUUCUUCCACUUAGGGGAAGUUUUAGGCUCUGCCAAAUAAUAACCAAAAUAAUAGAAACUCUGGUGUCUCCUUAAUUAGCCUUGUAUUUCCUCCAGGUGGCAGGAAGAGGAGUAGUUGCCCCACCUCUUGUGGCUGUUUUGUUUUUCCCUUCUUUUCUUGUUCCUCCAUACCCACUUCCUCCAUUUUGGGGGUUCCUGUAUGUAAAGCACCGACCGACACAGUGAUUGUGUCUGUCAACCUUAUACCUGAAUGAGUAAUUUUCCCACCAACUUUCUGAAGAGAUGGUUCCCAAAACGUGUUAUGAGCCUCAAGUCAGCAAUAACAGUCUGGAGCUGUCGCUGAGCUGUUCUGUCGAAGCCUUGAGCCAUCUUCUGAGAAGUUGGAUCAAUAUAAAAUUAGAUCUCUGUCAUUAAUCUCUUAAGAUGAUUUAGGCAUAACCUAUCUGGUCUUUCUCCUCUUAGCUCUUCAAUUUAUAGCAUCCCGGUGAAGUGGCUACAUCCGCAUACAUCACACAAGAGGAAAGAGAGGCUGGGAGAGAUUAAGUAAUUGACACAAAUCUCCCAGUGACUAAGGAGUAGAGCCAAGAUUCAGAUAUGGAUCAAGUUCCAAUGUUUGUUAAGGUGCAUUACGUCCUAUUCCAGUCAAGACCUGCGUUUGUGUGUCUUUACCCCAUGAUCCCGUCUACUGUACUCACAUCCUGCACGGCCCUGUUUCUCGUUGACGUCCAAAGUCCUAGGCUUGUGCCCUUUAAUUUAACCAAGAGGGAAUGUCAACUUGAAAAGCAAAUCCCAAAGUAGGAUAGCCCAGUGUGGGAUUCCGUGCAUCUCCCUGCAACGUAUUUGCCCGAUGGCCAGAAGCAUCUUUGUGUAUUCUGUCCAAUGAAGCAGCUUUAUUUAACAUGAUGUUUCUGCAUCUCUGUGGCCCCUGGCAAGGGGGUAAAUAUGUGCAGGGAGGUCUGGAGCAAGGAGAAGUCGGGAAGGAAGUUGCCUGGCCCCCCAGCGAGCUUCGGCUAAGUGUCCCACAUAAAGGCCGCCUACCUUUUUUCCUCUUUCAAGUUAAAACCUCUUCCCCUUUUGAGAUGACAAAUCACAAAAUCGGCUUGCCCCAGAUUUCGGUGAUCUCCCAUUAUCUCUGCAUCAACUUGAGGCUGAUACAAGAUCAGGUCUGAAGAUUGUUGCAGAAAUGAGAUAAGCUUUAAAAAACCCACACUCUUUAAUUUUCCAUGCUGAUCACCACUUCAUUCAUUUAUUCACUCAGCAAACGUUUCUGGAGCACCUGCCGUGGGCGAGGCCCUGUUGCAGAGGGUUGGGGGUCAGCAUUGAACAAAACAGACUCCCUUCCUUCCUGGGGCUUGGACGUUAGUGCCCACAAACAAGCAAAUGUGCCGGGCUGGGAGAAAUAGAGAAGGUAGGAGCCAGAAGUGAGGUUGGAGCUGGAAGCCACUGUGAGUCAGAUGGUCCGGGAAGAAGCAGCAUUUGAAUAGACAGCUAAGGAAGUGAGGGGCCAGCCCUGCGGUCAUCUGGGGGAGGCAUUCUUGGCAGAGAAAUAGCGAGGACCAAGACCUUGAAUCAGGAGUGUGGCUGAGCAAACUCAAGGAGAAGCUGGGUUGCCUGGGUGACCAACAUCAACAAUAGUGGGUGUCAGAGAUAAAGGAGGGAGGGGCGAGUCCUGUGGGUGCCCUGUAGGUGAUGGUUAGGCUGCAAGGUUUUAUUCUGAUGUAUUUGGGGCACCCCUGGAAAAUUUUGAAAGGGAGACAGAUGUGAUCUGAAUAAUUUUAAAAGUCCCACUCUGUCAAGUGGAGAACAGACCAGGGAGAGCAGGAGACCACUUGGAAGAUGAAAGCCCUGGUCCAGGAUGUCAGGAGGGAAGGGAGUGAGAAGCCACUGGAUUUGGGAUACAGGAUGUACACUAGGGCCUGAAGAGAGAGCUAAGAGGGUGUGCCGAUGUGUUUGAUGGGGAGCAAGAGAGAAUUAGGACAGUUCCCGGGUUUGUGGCCUGAGCAACUAGGAGUCAUCUGUCGCUGAGAUAAACAGGACUGUGGAGGGGCAAGUCUGGGGAAGGGGAAACUGAGUUUGGUUUUAGACAGGAGAUAAUUGAUAUUCUUCUGAAUGUUCUGGUGUCUGGAGUUCCAGAGAGGGAUCUGGCCUGGAGAUACAAUUUAGAGGGUGCAGUUGAACAGUGUGUCCCCAAAUUUCUUGUCCACCUGGACCGUCAGAACAUGACCUUCCUCGGAAAUAGGGUCUUUACAGAUAUAAUCAGUUAGGAGUCUCAAGAGGAAGUCAUCUUGGCUUAAGGGUGAGGCAUGCAGCCCACCCUAAAUCAAUGUCCUUAUAAGAGGAGAGGACACAGAGAGACACAGAGAAGAAGGCGCUGUGGGGAGGGAGGCAGGGACCGGAGUGUUGCAUCUCCAAGUCAAGGAAAACCGAGGAUCGCAGGUAACAACUGGGAGCUAUGAGAGAGGCACGGAUGGAUUCUCUGUCAGAGCGAACCAACCCUGACUUUGGACUUUUGGCUUCCCGAACUAUGAGAAAAUAAAUUUCUAUUGUUUUAAACCACCAAGUUGGUGGUACUUUGUUAAGACAUCCCCCGGAAACUGAAGCAGGGUCUCAGGGUGUAGACGACGUUUAAAAUGUUGAUCUGGAUGAAGUCAUACAAGACCCAGCCCAGAGCACCCUGCUCUUCAGGGUGAGAGAAGGUGAGGAGGACCCAGCAGAGGAGCCUGACAGAUCUCUUUUCUUUCAUCAUUCUGAUGGAAUUUAGAAAUAGGGACCGGUGGAAAACCCUGGGAAGAAAUAAAAGGUAAGUUUGCAAAGUAAACAAACAUUCCGGCUACGGGAAUGAAGCUUUGUGCCAAGAUGACCAUCAUUAAAUCUUGUUCCUACCCCUAUGCCCAGGACUAGAAAACAACUUAACAAUAUCUUUACUAGCUUGGGAGAGGUGUCACAUGUUUUUAAAAUCCACUUUACUGAGAUAUAAUGUACAUGCAACAGAAUGCAUUCAUUUUCAGGCUUAUUUCAAUGAGUUGUGACAAAUUGAUACCCAUGUAACCACAACCAAAAUUCAAAUAUAAAAUAUUUCUGCCACUCCUCGAAAAUUUCCUGUGCUCCUUUCCUAUCAAUUCUUGCCUCCCUUUCUGCUCCAAUCUGUUUUCUGUCACUGUAUAUUAGCCGUUUCUGCUAGAAUUUCACGUACAUGGCAUCUUACAGGAUGCAUUCUUCUGUGCGUGCUGUUUUCAGCAUCUCCUGUGUGUGGUGUUGCAUCCAGGAGUGGGCUGGAGCCCGCUGGUACAGGCUGUGCAUCUCUUCCAAUACUGCAUCCAGUGGCAUCAUGUAGGCUGCUUGGCGUUGGCCAAGGCGGGACUAUUUACAUCACAGGAAUCGGCAAGUGCUGUCAGUCAGUGUUUUUUUCCUCCUGUGAACCACUUAGCCCACCACUGGUCAUGUCUUUGAAUAUUCAGAGUAACUUCCUGAUCACUCUUCUGGCCACAUUAGCAGAAAACCCAGCACCUGUUGCUGCUCCUGCUCCCCAGCUCGGCUCACACCUCACUCCCCCGCACAUCCCAAGAAUCCUGGGAGCUUGUCCUUGAGGGGCGUGUUCUGCUUGCAAAGCCACUCAGAGAGAGAAAUGAAGACUCUGAU
ensembl:lncRNA